rnacentral:tRNA from 1 species
GGGGAUUUAGCUCAGUCGUAGAGCGUUUGCCUAGCAAGCACAAGGCCCUGGGUUCGGUCCCCAGCUCCG